UACGGAGGGUGCGAGCGUUGUCCGGAAUCAUUGGGCGUAAAGGGCGCGUAGGUGGCCCGGUCAGUCUUUGGUGAAAGCGCGGGGGCUCAACCCUGCGUCGGCCAGGGGAUACUGCCGCGGCUCGAGCACUGUAGAGGCAGGCGGAAUUCCGGGUGUAGCGGUGGAAUGCGUAGAGAUCCGGAAGAACACCGGUGGCGAAGGCGGCCUGCUGGGCAGUUUAGCUGACACUGAGGCGCGACAGCGUGGGGAGCAAACGGG
rnacentral:rRNA from 1 species